rnacentral:rRNA from 1 species
UACAGAGGUCUCAAGCGUUGUUCGGAUUCAUUGGGCGUAAAGGGUGCGUAGGUGGCGCGGUAAGUCGGGUGUGAAAUCUCGGAGCUUAACUCCGAAAUUGCAUUCGAUACUGCCGUGCUUGAGGACUGGAGAGGAGACUGGAAUUCAUGGUGUAGCAGUGAAAUGCGUAGAGAUCAUGAGGAAGACCAGUGGCGAAGGCGGGUCUCUGGACAGUUCCUGACACUGAGGCACGAAGGCCAGGGAGCAAACGGG